rnacentral:tRNA from 1 species
AGCAAUGCAGUGUAUCAGGAAAAGUGUUAGAUCUGCAAUCUGAAGAUGUGGGUUCAAUUCCUAUCCUUGCUU